ensembl:lncRNA
AGGCGGCCUGGGGCCCAGGAGUUGCUCUUGAGCUCCCCUCCCUGCCCGGGGCUGUCCCCUCUCCUAGACAAGCGCCAAGCCACACCCCAACUCCACCCACGCCCCCGGGCCCAGAAGCCCGAAGGGUGGGGGUGUGGAUUUGCUGGGAUGCAGCCAGAGGCAGCUGUGCCCCCAGCCCUGAAGCAGUGCAGAGUGGAUGCGUUCAGGGCCCCUGGAGGGUCUCAGCACAAGUCAGUGAGCGCGCUCUGGACCUGUGUGCACCGCCGGCCGUCCUUGGCCGCCGCUUGCUCCCUGGUGGGCCUGGCUUUGCCCCCGUGUGCUGGCCUGAGGGCGGUGAGGUGUGCGUGGCCCCGACGGGCAGGAUAGACGCCUGGGCAUGUCCACUUCCUCUCAGAGCCCAGCCUGGUCAGUGGAGGGACAACAGGAAAUGGCCCGCUUCUGACCUGCCAGGGGCCGGAUCCGCCCAGCGGGACCAGAGAGCCUCCCUGGGAGGUAAUGAGCGUCAGGUGGGAGGUUGGUGUCUUAAGGGACACACCCCUACAGGCAGGAUUUCCUGGGGCCCUGGCCUUACUGGGGGAGGUGCCUUACUGGGGGAGGUGGGCAGCGAGAUAGCCCCGCCGGACAUGCUUGGCCUCGCCAGUUGAAGCCCAGCCUGCCGCAUGCUCUGACUCAAGGCUCUUCCCCUCAGGAAAUGCACGCACAUGGGCCCUGAGAGAUGUGUACAAACAAAUUCGUGACAGCGCCACGCGCCAGCCAAAAGUGAGAGACAGCCCAACUGUCCCUCCCUAGGAAAUGGGUAAAUAAACCACGGUGUGUGUAGACAAACAGCACUCAGCAAGGAAAACAGAGGCUCUCUCGUGAUGUCGACACAUGAUGAACGUCAGACUUAACCUGCAGAAGAGGCUGCGUCUCAGGAGAAGCCGAGAGGCAAGGUGCCACCAGCUCGAAUCUGGAAAGCAGGCAGGCAGCCCUGGGAACAAAGAGGUGGGGGAAUGAAAGGAAAAGGGGGCCGGGGGCUGAACAGGCUGGUUCUGGGGAGAUGAGGAUAUGGGGCUGGGUCCAGAUGAUGGCAAAGUCUUUCCUCUCAAUCCAGGUAGUGGGCGGGGAAUGCCGAUUUCACUUUCAUUGUCUCUAAAAUAAACUAUCCCCAUGUUAUAACCUCCCUCUGUCUGACACCUGGGAUAACACAUACAGAAUGGCUUCCCAGGGGCCACCACGGCCUUUGCACACAUUAUCCCCACUUAAUCCUCUCCAUCCAUAUGGAACCACCUUCCCUGUUGCCCCCAUGAAAGAUGGUCCCUUGGGUGGCCGCUGGGGGACCCGGCUCAGGGUCAGUGACGACUUUUCCCUACACCCCUGUUGCACCUGUGUGGAGCCAAGUGGUCAAGGUCAGGCCAGUGGAACGUGGGGCCCAUAAACCCUCCACCCCCCCCCCCCCCCCCCCCCCCCCCACAUUCCCUUCCUGUGCUGACUGGGUGUGGACACUGAGGCCCAGAAACCACCUGGGGAAGAGCCUGUGUCAGAGCUUCUGUGAACCUGAGUCCCUGCUCAGCUACCUGGCCCAGAAAACCAGGCCCCCCGCCCCCAUGGUCAUUAGAAGUUACUGAAUAAGAAUAGGAAGUGAACUCUCAUUGUCUUGAGCCACUGAGAUCUGGCCUUCACGUGUGACAGCCGGGUCAGCAGACUCUGGCCCAGGAGCUGCGUCUGUUUCCUGCUUCUCCAUGUAAGGCUGGGGUGGUUUCUGCUGUGCCGAAGCUGGGCUGGCCUCCCGUCUCCACACACCUCCUGGUUCUGGGGUUGACUUCUUAGUUCAUGGUCCUGUGGGCCAGACAACUCACCCAGGGGUAAUAACCAUGGGCUUGUAAAGUCAUAGGAUUCUGCGGGCUGGGCGGGACCACAGAGAGUCCUUGCUCCAUCGCCUUGUUGGACGCAGGGAAAGACUGGCCCAGGGUGAGCAGGUGGGCCAGUCUCAAAGCAACUUCAUGAUGGGAGGUCUGGAAGCUGAGCCCUGGCGUCCCCUGGAGGCCCGGCCACCUCUCUCCACUCUGGGUCUGAGGCGCUGUUCCCUGCCCUGGAUCCAGGAGGUUAGCUGGAGGGUGGGAGGCCUCCAGAUUGGUUUGCAGGUCAAGCACGUCUAGGGCCCCCACCUGCUUUGCUGGGGCUCUUUGUUCUCCGUGUCAGGUGGUGUGGAGCAAAAGCCCAGGUCAGAGGAAGCCAUGUCCACUGACCAUCUGCUAUUUUACCCUGUCUGUUCUUUCCUCUGCUGGGAGGGUGAAGGGCAGGCCUGAAUGCAGGCAUCCCUGGAUGCUCCAGUGAAAGCCGCCCCACAACGAGCCUGCUCUCUGUGGCCCUGAGCUCGCCAAGCCCUCUUCCCAUUUUCUGUUGGAGAUGCUGAUGGGAUUCCCCUCGCUUUGUUGAUGCGAGGAUGUCUCCACAAACUUCCUGGUCUGUCUCGCUAUCUUCCCUGGUAAAGACUGCUAAUGAUGAGUGAAAGCCUCUUCUGAUACUGACUUCUUGACAAACUUAACCUCUGGGAAAAUGACCCAGCCUCAGCUUUCCGUCUGGUGGCCAGGGCGGUCCAUCCCUGCACGCCUGGACGCAGGAGUCUGUUUUCCUCAUUUUGUUG